rnacentral:rRNA from 1 species
CAAAGAUUAAGCCAUGCAUGUCUAAGUACAUACCUCGACAUGGUGAAACUGCGAAAGGCUCAUUAAAUCAGUUAUGGUUCCUUAGAUCGUACAAUCCUACUUGGAUAACUGUGGCAAUUCUAGAGCUAAUACAUGCUACACAGCUCCGACCUUCACGGGGAGAGCGCUUUUAUUAGUACAAGACCAACCCGGGUUCGCCCGGCCGCUUGGUGACUCUGAACAACUUUGUGCGGAUCGCACGGCCUCGCGCCGGCGACGUAUCUUUCAAGUGUCUGCCCUAUCAACUUUCGAUGGUACGUGCUAUGCCUACCAUGGUUGUAACGGGUAACGGGGAAUCAGGGUUCGAUUCCGGAGAGGGAGCAUGAGAAACGGCUACCACAUCC